GUGCUGCUCUGAAGAAUGACAAGCUGAAGUUAAAUACAGCAAAGGUAGAACAUAAUCAGAAAAGAGAGGGAAAUAUAGAAUACUUGAAGUAGAAGUUAAACAUGCUAAGACUUGGAGGUAUUAAAUACUUGGAGAUAUUAAUUUGAGAACCUCGGUUAUUUCGAAUAACUGAGGGAAAAAACUGAGGCAAACUGAGGCUGAGGCAAAGAAAACUGAGGAAAACAGGCUGAGGUAAAAAAAAAAAAAAAAAAAAAGAAAACUGAGGCUGAGGCAAAAAAAAAAAAAAAAAAAAAAACAGGCAAAAACAAAACAAAACAACAAAACAGGUAGCUACUUGACAUUAGCUACAAGUUAUACACUUCAGACAAAACGGAGGGACAAGGGUUGCCAUCAGGGUUGCCAGGUCUAUUAAAAAGGAUCCAACGCUUGACAAGUGACCUACCAUGUACUGUAGGUCGCAGUUUAAUAAGAACACAGCUUGCCAUGUUACUGAGAACCCAGAGAAGUCCUCCAUCCAUCCUGAAGACGCUCACAUGGUGAAAAAAAUUACUGGCACUGGAGACUCCUUCCAUAAAUGUUCACUAGAACAACGAUAAUGUUUUUCGUUCUUACAUAACACAUUUUUAAAAAUCCAUUUAACAUUAAGAUUAGAUUUUGUAG